CCUACGGGAGGCAGCAGUGAGGAAUAUUGGUCAAUGGACGCAAGUCUGAACCAGCCAUGCCGCGUGCAGGAAGACGGCUCUAUGAGUUGUAAACUGCUUUUGUACGAGGGUAAACGCAGAUACGCGUAUCUGUCUGAAAGUAUCGUACGAAUAAGGGUCGGCUAACUCCGUGCCAGCAGCCGCGGUAAUACGGAGGAUUCAAGCGUUAUCCGGAUUUAGUUGGUUUAAAGGGUGCGUAGGCGGUCGGAUAAGUUAGAGGUGAAAGCCCGAGGCUCAACUUCGGAAUUGCCGCUGAUACUGUUCGGCUAGAGAGUAGUUGCGGUAGGCGGAAUGUAUGGUGUAGCGGUGAAAUGCUUAGAGAUCAUAAAGAACACCGAUUGCGAAGGCAGCUUACCAGGCUACUUCUGACGUUGAGGCACGAAAGCGUGGGGAGCAAACAGGAUUAGAUACCCCAGUAGUC
rnacentral:rRNA from 1 species